rnacentral:lncRNA from 1 species
UGUUUUUGAUAUAACUUCAGAAAAAUUUUCUAAAUUCUAAUUGUUCAUUAAUUUGUAAUUGUGAGUUUUUUGAGAAAUUGUAAAAGAAGUCUUGUGUGAUUGUAAGCAGCUUUGGUCUGGCUCUGCUCAAAAGGCCAAGUGAUAAUGAAAUCGAUAUCUUGAGAAGAAGAAGAACCAGACUAAAGUAGGCAGAAAGGCCAAACCAGGAUAAAUCAUCUGUAUUAUUUGAGUUUGAUUUUCUUCUUUUAUGUGAUUGUGCAAUUUUUAUCUUGAUUUAAUUUUACUUGAAUUUUUAGUUGUCAACUAAUUCACCCCCCCCCCCCCUCUUAGUUGCCAUUUGAUCUUUCAUACUAUUCAACAAACCACUCACUCAACCCUGGGGCCCACAUGUAAUCGCACAUUUCUCGAUCCAAGGACUAAAAAGCUAAUAGCACUAAUAGUUUGGUGCUAUUGAUAGUAUUUCAGCCUAAUUCUGUAUAUCUAUACUACUUAUAAAAGCGUGAGUUUUAAAAUUUUUUCCUUUCCAAAAAUGCCUAUAUCAUUUUUACUUAUAUUGUUAUGUCCAGUAAUUUUCAACCAUCCAUUUUAAAUAAAUCUAUAAAUAAUAAUUAAUUCUCAAAUAUAGAUUUUAAGAUUUUUCCAUUGGAUCUCAUCCAACGAAUAAAAAUAAAAGUAUCUGUCAUUUUUGUUGACAAAAAUACCCUCAUAUCCGUUAUCUCCUAUGUACGCCGCGUUUCUUAAAUAUUUUUUUUUUACCCACCAAUCAUUUAAUAUGUAAAACUAAAUUUAUCUCUUAUCUAACGUAAUACCCGUUAAUCACGUAAUACCUCCGCUAAUCACGUAAUACGUAAAAUUAAAUUUAUUUCCUAUCCACGCAUUUUUUUCAAAUAUUUUUUCUAAUCAAAUGUAAUACCUGUCAACAUAUAGUAUUCAAAAUUAAAUUUUAAAUUUGUAAUACCCGCCAAAAUUUAAUACCCGCGAAUUUGAUAAUUUGAAUUUUAAUUUAUGGUAUUAGAAUUUUCCUUAUAUAAGAUAGUAGAUUUAAUUUUGACGAGUAUUAAAAUUUCGCGUGCCAUAGAAACGUUAAAUAUUGGUAAAAAAAAAUUUAAUAUCCCAAAUCAAAACUAAAUCAUUAUAAAUAUAAUUUUAAAUAUUUUUAGCAAAAUAUUUAAUAUUUAAAUAAUGGGUCAUAAAAGUAUAAAAUAUUUCUAAAAAAAUUAAUACCUAUCCAAUCAAAAUUAAAUUGAUAAUUAAAUAUAAUUUUAAAUUUUUUUAGUAAAAUAUUCAAUGUUUAAAUAAUAUCCACCAAAAUAUUCUCCGCAUUCUCAAAUAUAAAAUAUAUCUUAAUACCCUCGCAUAUAAUAUCUACACUACCCAAUCUUAUCUCAUCAUAAUAUUUAUCACACAAUAUAUACAUCAUAUCUUUUUUAUUAGCAUAUUUUUUUGGUAUUUUCUCAGCUAUACGUUUUUUAUAUAUAAAGUAUAUAUUUUUUUAGUAGUAUCCUUUUUUAUUUUUAUCUAUAUUUUUCUCAAAUAUUUUUUUAGUAAUAUCUUUUCUCAUUUGUUACAGCGGUACAUCGUCAUCCUCCUACUCAUCAUCAUUAUUUGUCUCGGUACAUUAUAGCGUUCACCACCUUCAUCAAA